UUCUAUUAGAUUUAAUUAAUAGUAUAAUCUGCUCAAUGAAAUUAAAUAGCCGCUAUUAGUGCUAAGGUAGCAUAAUCAUUUGUCUUCUAAUUAAAGACUAGAACAAAAGAUUAAACAUUUAUAUUUUUAUAUUUAUAUAACUUUUCAAAUUUAACCUAAAUGUUAAAAGACAUUUAUUCCAAAGAAAGACGACAAGACCCUAUUGAACUUAACUUAAGUUAAACUGGGGCAGUAAAUCAUUUAUUAUUUUAAUUAAUAUAUUUCAAUAAAUAACCUUUUAAAUGAUAAUUAAGUUACCAUAGGGAUAACAGCGUAAUAAAUCUUUAAAGAUCUUAUAAAAAGAUUAGAUUACGACCUCGAUGUUGAAUAAUUACCUAAUAAACGCAAAAUUUUAAUAAGGAAGUCUGUUCGACUUUUUAAAAAUUACA
rnacentral:rRNA from 1 species